UCGAAAAUAAACAAACAUUAAAAAAUUUUAAUAUAUGAUUUUAAUAUAAUUUUUCAGAAAUUCCUUCUUACAAGAAUAAGUUUGCCUUGUAUGAGGAAAGGGGCAAAGAAAGAAGCUCUACUUUUCGCAGUUCAGUCUUGGAAACCGGCAAAAAGCAAUGACUUUUGACUCACAAUCCUCAGGGUUGUUUUGAGGAAUCACAUUGUGACUGGAUAUGAAGUCUUGACUUUUAUCAAUAAUUAGUUCCUAACAGCAUGGAGUAGAGGCAUUGCUGUUAUGAAGAUGAUAGUGUGGUCUUCUGAACCUUGGACACUUACAAUCAAUCUGGUAGACGUUGAUUUCUCAGCUUCAGAGUACAAUUAGUCUUAUUCUCUUGACUAACUGAGAUUAGAAAUUACACAUUAUCUAUGUUUGAGUGUUACAAUGCAGACUGUUAUUUCAAAUGUAUUUAGUACAGGCAUAAUGAAUCAACCAUGAAUGACACAAUACACACUUCUUUGACUUCCUACUGUGGACCCAGAUAAGUAUGAGAGAGAUUGAAGAUUAUUACCCUUUGGUUACAAAACAUUCAUGCAUAUGUAAUUUUCCAUACAAAACCCUUAUGAUUAACAGGUCAUGGAAUAAUAAUGAGAUACAAAGAGUCA